rnacentral:rRNA from 1 species
UACGGGGGGGGCAAGCGUUGUUCGGAAUUGCUGGGCGUAAAGGGCUCGUAGGUGGCCAACUAAGUCGGACGUGAAAUCCCUCAGCUUAACUGGGGAACUGCGUCCGAUACUGGAUGGCUUGAGUUUGGGAGGGGGAUGCGGAAUUCCAGGUGUAGCGGUGAAAUGCGUAGAUAUCUGGAGGAACACCGGUGGCGAAGGCGGCAUCCUGGACCAACACUGACACUGAGGAGCGAAAGCCAGGGGAGCAAACGGG